rnacentral:rRNA from 1 species
CCUACGGGAGGCAGCAGUGAGGAAUUUUCCGCAAUGGGCGAAAGCCUGACGGAGCAAUACCGCGUGAGGGAUGAAGGAUUUUGGUCUGUAAACCUCUUUUCUCAAGAAAGAAGUUCUGACGGUACUUGAGGAAUAAGCAUCGGCUAACUCCGUGCCAGCAGCCGCGGUAAUACGGGGGAUGCAAGCGUUAUCCGGAAUGAUUGGGCGUAAAGCGCCUGUAGGUUGUUUAUUAAGUCCGUUGUUAAAGCCUAGGGCUUAACCCUAGAAAAGCAAUGGAAACUAGUAGACUAGAGUAUGGCAGGGGUAGAGGGAAUUUCUAGUGUAGCGGUGAAAUGCGUAGAUAUUAGAAAGAACACCGGUGGCGAAAGCGCUCUACUGGACCAUUACUGACACUCAGAGGCGAAAGCUAGGGUAGCAAAAGGGAUUAGAUACCCCUGUAGUCCUAGCCGUAAACGAUGGAUACUAGAUGUUGUGCAUUAUGUACAGUAUCGUAGCUAACGCGUUAAGUAUCCCGCCUGGGGAGUACGCUCGCAAGGGUGAAACUUAAAUGAAUUGACGGCUGAGANGCGACGACGACACGAGGAGUAG